UGUAUAUGUGUAGUAUGUGCUCUCCUGAAUGCAUGUGAUACUCAAUGAAAAUUUAAAUUGAAAAACAAGGACAGGACCUGGUUGCGGCUGAGAAAGAAGGCUGUAACUGGGAGACCUGCUGUUUGGUAUCCUGGAGUCUGCAGAGCUUGAUGCCCCCACCUGGCCACAUCUGCAGACCUUUCCUAGUCGACGGCUGCCCGAAGCCUGCUUCCCUCCACCCCACUGCUGGCAUCUGGAAUUUCCCAAGGCUUCUUCGUCAACGGGCCCCCACUGACAGAUGAGAUCAAGGACCUUUGAAAUAAGAGGAAAUCUACUAGGCUGCAGGUUAAGGUGAUGUAGAGCCAGGUGGCACAGCUUCUGAACAGAGAGGGUAGGACAAGUCAUCCAAACGCCCCAAGCUGGAAGCUGGCUGGGCUUUCUGGAAGGAAGGUGUUGGGGCUGUGGUGGAGGCAGGGCCUGGCAUGGCGGGGCAGGGGCUUCACCACCGGGCCCUCCUCUGAAGGUGAGGACUGGGGUCAGCAUUUGGGCUUUCCUCCCAUUCCACCCCAAAUCCAUGUUAACCACAGGUAGAAUCUUUGCCUCUUUCCCAGAGAGACUUCCAGGUCCCAGGCCCGCCUGAAGAUGUGCUCUUGUGGAGUGACGGACUCAGGAUGGGAAAUCAAGGCUCAUCAACACCUGCGAUGUGCCAGGCACUGUGCUGGGGGGUGGUGCAUGGGUUAUAAUGACCUAAAUUGUGGCUCUUCAGCCCGCCCUGGCAAGAGAAGCCCUGAAAUGCAGGGGAGGGCUCUCUCCCAGAAGGGAAUGGGUGCUCCCAUAUUUGCUCUUCCUGAAAGGAGCAGGAAAUGCGAUGAGCUUUCGGGACUGGAGGAGGGAGACAGGAACUCCUCACUAGGGUGCCUGUGGGACCUGAAGUGUGGAGAGGCCGUGAGCAGUGGGGGGUGUGGGAAGUGGCUACGUGGAGGCCGUCCAGGGGCCGGGCAGCCCCUGGCCUCCGCCACUGUUCACCACGGUGGAAGCAGCAGCAGCUCAAAGAAGCAACACUUCUUUGGUGUUUUGGUGAUAAUCAGCAUUUCAGCAAUGCUCCAGGGCAUAUCUGAGUGCCUGCCCCUCUUCUGAGAGGAGAGAGCAGCCCCCACUGUCCCUUGGAUCGCCUCUGCGGUCUCAGAGACAGACAGGGGUGGUGACACCUGGGCCAGGCAAGUGGUGACCCCACAUGGACAUUAAAAACCCAGACUGUGCUGUGGGGACAAGAGGGAUACCAUGGAAGAGAAAGGCCUCAGGACUGUCUCUGCAGCACAUGUGAGCCAAUGCCCUGGGAAACUCCUCAAAAAUGGUGGUGGCGGGGGGAACAUGGCGACAAGGGCUGCAACUGUGGGCAUGAAAAGGAAGUAUAAUUCCACUUCAACUGAAUUCAGGAGCGUACAGAUUAUAUAUGACCUCACUUUUCAAAGGAAAUGGCAUCACUUAUUAUCCCCAUUUUACAGACAAAGAAGCUAGUAUUCAGAGAGGCUAUGUCAGUGAUUUCCAGUUUGUUUGUUUGUUUGUUUGUUUGUUUGUUUGUUUUGAGGGGGGAGGGGCAGAGAGAGAGAGGGAGAGAGAGCAUCCAAAGUAGGCUCCACGCCCAGUGCAGAGUCCAACGUGAGGCUCCAUAUCACAACUGUGAGAUCAUGACCUGAGCUGAAAUCAAGAGUCAGAAGCUUAACCAAGGAAGCCACCCAGGUGCCCCAGUGAUUUCCAGUUUUUAGAGUUCACAAAUGAGCAAGUUAAAAAACUUUGGGGAGUAGGGGCACCUGGGUGGUUCAGUCAUUUAAGCAUCUGACCCUUGAUCUCAGCUCAGGUCUUGCAGGGGUGUGAGUUCAAGCCCUGUGUUGGACUUUACGCUGGGGGUGGAGCCUACUUAGAAAAAAACAACUCUGUGGAGUAUACAUCGGUUGCUGACUGUAAUUUUCCUAAGAAAUUACAAAAAAACCAAAACUGCUAUAUUUAUAUUCAUCAUCACUCGUUGGUAAAGGAAAGGAUAUUUUAAUGUCAAGAAUCUAGAGACAAUCGAUCAAAAUAAAUGUUGAUAUUUUGAUACACUUCUAUUGUGGACCCACACACAGCAAUCAGUAUAUACUUCCUUCUGGGCACUUUGCUAACAUCUCUAAGGCUCAAUAUUCCUGCCUGUUAAGUGGGGAUAAUGAUUGGAUUAUAGGAGCUAAUGGAUGUAUGUAAAAGGUUUAGCCCAGUGCUCAGCAUAUAAGAAGCCCAUGGAAACAACUAUUAUUAGCAUAUUAUCAUUAUCAGCUCUUUCUUUGUCUCUUCCCUUCUUCCCCCUCGCCUCCACGCCUUGAUGCAGAUAAGUGAAAAACGCAACAAGUAAGGUGUACCAUGAGUAAGUACAUCCUAUGGUGGGCCAGGGGCUGUCAGGUGGGUUUACUGUUCAGCCUGAGGCUCUGGCGGUGGUCAGCAGCCCCGGAGCCCCACAGGGUGAAGUCUACUCCAUUGGCUUGUCCCUCCCUGUGGUGCUUAAUCAGGGUCAGGUGGCCAACACUAGCUUCCUCAAGGAUCUGGACAUCUAGUUCCCAGGUCAGCGUAUUCCGUCCGGUGUCCUAAAUCCUGUGUGGAACCACGAGGCAGCCUCCGAGACUGUCAGCCACCUGACACAUUCCAUUCCACAAAAUUCCAUUCACAUGUGCCCUUGGUGUCUCGGCAGAUUCCCCAAGUGGCUUCCUGACCAUCUGGUCUGGAGGAAAUGCUCACUAGGCAUUGGCGAGAGGCUCUGAACACUGUAGACAUGUGCUGCACAAAGGGUAUCCCUGGACCUCACACCCUCCCUUGCCAGAGACUGGCCAGAUCCUCUGAAAGCCACAGACCAUUGGCCCGAAGGAGCAAGGGGGGAAGCUGUUGCUGGAUCCCAUCAAACUGGUCUCCUGUUCAGGGGGAUUUAGGCAGCCCAGUGGGUCACUGAUGACAAAUGGUCAGGUCAGUAAGCUUCAAAAACACCAAGAGGACCUGCUCUCCAUAUGGCCAGUCACUUCACACAAAGUGGCGGAAAUAAGCCAGACUUUUCGACACACUUGGGUUCGGGGCUGACUCUGGCACUAAGUGACGCUGGGUGUUUCUUCACCACUCAAACCCUCAACGUUCUCAUCUGUAAAAGGAGGACAAUCGAAACUGUCUUUUAUAAAUGCUGCGAAAAUUAAGCCGAAGGUUGAUGGUGCUCAGGACGUUGCCUGCCACACUGUCAUUUAUUUUUUUAUUUAAAAUGUUAAUUUUUUUUGAGAGAGUGCAGGCGGGGGAGGGCCAGAGAGCAGGAGGGAGAGAUUGGAUCCGAAGCAGGCUCUGCACUGACAGCAGAGAGCCCGACGCGGGGCUUGAACUCAUGAACCGUGAGAUCAUGACCUGAGUCAAAGUUAGACGCUCAAUGGACUGAGCCACCCAGGCGCCCCAACAGACUGUCCUUAUUAAUGAUGACCCAGUUGGGCCAAAGUAUAAGGACAGCCAGGCCAGGGACGUCCCUGAGAGAUUCUUCCUGCCAUGCAUGCAUCGUCUCCUAAAACCCACUCAUUUCUAUUCAAACCCUGGCUCUGUCUCUCUCUAGCAAGCAAGUGAGCCUUUCUGUGCCUCGGCUUCUCUAUAUGUACUUGGGGAUAAUAAAAACACCUACUUCAGACGGGCUUAUGAUGAUUAACUUCCCAACAUAAAAUGCUGAGCACAGUACCUGGUCCACCGUAAGUGCUCAGUGAAGGUUGUUAUUACCAGUAGAGCUCAAUGAAUUACCAGCAGCCUGCAAUAAACUCCAAAAGUAUGAGUUUCACGAAGCUCAUUACUGUUCUGUCUUCCUGAAAUGAUAGGUGAGCAGAAGGCCUGAGACCCACACCUGCAUGAGCUCCUUCCUCAGCAGAGGAGUCCGCCUUUUGGAUCAUAAUUACCAUUUCUAGAAUGCUUGCCAAGUGCCAGUUGCUUGACAGACUGCCUCCAAUCCUCAUAAUAACCCUCCGAAAUAGGCAUUCUUCUCAUUUUACAGAUAAGGAAGCCGGGGUUCAGAGAGGUGUAGUGACUUGCUCAAGGGAGCACAGUAGGCAGGUAUAAAAGCAGGAUUCGAACGUCAGUCUAUCUGGACCCAUCUCCACGGCUGCCUUGCUUCCCUGAACAGAACGGGGCUUUGUGUCCCUCGUGUGUGUGGGUGCGUCCAGCAGCUCUGCCGGCCUGGCUGAGGUGGUUGAUAUUUAAAAACUGGACGGUAGGGGAAAAAAAAAAAAAACCCUAAAAACAAUAAACGGUGAUUCAGACUGAGUCUUUACUCAGGCAGUUACGGGAAACUGGCGGGAAGUGAUAGCCUUAGUCACUUAGGAAUGGCUGAGCCCCUGAGUCAUGGGCAGGAGGCCACGCUGCUCAGGACUGAAGCCAGCACUGUUUUUAGUGCCAAAAAGGCAGGAACAAGCUCUGGUGAGGGGGGAGGGAAAUCAAAGGAAAGAUGAACUGGGGCCAGAGUAGCUUCUGUAAGUGAGGGGUCAGGCUUACCCUGGUUCCUGAAACAAUAUCCGACUCCCAUGUUCGACGGGCCAGCCCCCAUCUAUAGCCCCCCUCAUCUUUUUCAACCACAUUUCCCUCCAUUCUCAUUCAAACACCCCCAUCCAGAGAGAUGGGGUGAUCCACCAUGCCAGGGAUGCAUCCCGGUUCUCUUUCCUUCCUGGAAUGUCCUUGCCCCUUGUUCCAGGUGCUUCAGCCCCCCACCCUUGGGCCUCCACAGGGGCCCUACCUCCUGCCUUCAGCUCCAAAUCCGGUCCCCCACUCCUCAAAUGUUUAUGGAGCACAUCCCGUGUAUUAAGUUCAGUGCACCUGCUGGAGGUACACACAGAUGGGUUAGCCCCCGUCCCCAUCCUAGUGUCCAUUUGAGCAGGGAACAGAUACCCACAGGUAACUGGACAAUGACCUCCCCCAAAGAAGGGCUCUGAUGGAGGGAGCACAGAGCCCUUCUGGGGGCCCCUAAGCUACUCUAGGAACCAGUGAGGUUCCCUGGAGGAGCGAUGUUUGAGUUGAAUCUUGAAGAGUGGGAAUUCAGAGAUGGUGGAUUGGAAAAGAAUACAAUCAUUUUCAAAAAAAAAGAAAGAAAGAGAAAGAAAGAAAGAAAGAAAGAAAGAAAGAAAGAAAGAAAGAAAGAAAGAAAGAAAUAGUCAUAGGCAAAUAAUAUGUUUAUUGUACAAAAAAAGGGGAAAAUGGAGGAAAACACAGAGAAGCAAAAUAAUAGCCCCCAGAAAUCCUAUUUAAAUUUUUGGAGUAAUUCCUUCUUCCUUGGCAUAGUUUUAUGUGUAUAGACAGAUAUAUUUAAAAAGAAAACCCCAGAAUAUAGUAAUGUGACUGUUUCAUAACCUCCUUUUUUACAGUUAACAAUAUAUUAUGGAAACUUUUCAUGUCAAUAAAUAUUAGCCACAACUUA